UGCAGAGAUAAAAACACAACGUAUAGCCUUUUGGACCGCGCCCGAUAUUUUAUUUAGACAAUCCGGGCAUAUUCACAGUCCGCAGGUGAUACAGAGCCGGUAGGUAGUCCGGCCGUAUUCGUAAGAAUAUAAGUAACCCUCCCUCCUUGGGUCGUCCAUUCUUUGUGUAUC
rnacentral:ncRNA from 1 species